rnacentral:rRNA from 1 species
ACGGAGGGGGCGAGCGUUAUUCGGAAUUAUUGGGCGUAAAGGGCGCGUAGGCGGCUUGACAAGUCAAAGGUGAAAUCCCUCGGCUCAACUGAGGAACUGCCUUUGAAACUGUCUGGCUUGAGGCCGGGAGGGGGUAGCGGAAUUCCCAGUGUAGCGGUGAAAUGCGUAGAUAUCAGGAGGAACACCGGCGGCGAAGGCGGCACUCUGGGCCGGUACUGACGCUGAGGAGCGAAAGCGUGGGUAGCAAACAGGA